CCCUCUUCCUCCCCAAUAGCCGCCGCCACCUUCUCCUCUCCUCUGCCAAACCUAACCGUGAAAACCACCGACGUCUACCCUCGGCCCGCCAUGGCCUGCGUCGACCUCACCUGACCGCGGGAAUUGAACCGUGACCGUCUCCUCGUUCUCCUCUACAACCUCCCGAAGCUGGGCGAUGCCAGGAACACGUCGAGAUCUUCAACGCCGUCGUCGUCUACCUCGGCCUCUUCUUCCCCGACGCCGGCAGCUCCUCCGCCGUUUCUUCCUUCUCGUCAACGACACCACCGAGACACCGAUGCAGAGCAGUACGAGCAGGAGUACGAGUUCCCCAGGAGGAUCGUGUCGGUGCUUCUACCUCUGAUCUGACAGGCGAGCCCACCCCAUCACCUAUUUUACUUUUUCAUGCUCUUUUGAUCUAUUGCUACCCCUAUGUUGCGAUUCUGUUGUGUCACGUGCCCUAUUCCACCUGUUACCCUAUAUGAUCCGAGAUACACCUCCUUGCCCUACCAGAUGUUUGUUGUUUGUCAGCUUUGCGAGUCGUAGGCGAGUUUAGGGUUUUGUUGAUAUCUCGAAAUGUUCGGGAUAUCUUGUUGGGUAGUUGUUUUACUUGCUAUAUCUGUUGUUGGAGAUAAUCUUGGCUCACCCUAAUGUUAAUAUUAAAAUGGAUAAGAAGAGGCAUCGGUGGGUCAACUGUAUAUUUUGGUUUUACCAUGGCUCACUUGUGUCCAAUUUUAUAAUUAGGACGAGUUCUUGUUUUCUGAUCCAAGACUGAGCGCACUAACCACACGUGGGAGGUUUCACUGGGACCCGCCUCGACCUAUUACCGGAAUUGCUUCCACUGUCCAAGUGCCACAACUAGUUCGUAACUUUUUGUUUCUCCCGGGCGUGCAAGCUUGUUUCUUUGUGGUCAGAUGUUAUGGUGUUACUUUUGGGGAAGCCUUUUGUGCCUUGUAACCCCGUUGUCUCUUGCACGCUCGUAGGCGCGGUACGUAUUGCUGAGGAUGGAUUCAUCCUGCGGGCACUGUUUCCAUCUGAAAGUCAUAGACGCAAAUAGCUAGGUCCGCAUCGGAGUUCCGAUCUAAAACGAAUUUAACCUAGAUAGGUGGCUUCUUGGACUUGGUCUGUGGUGAAGGGAGGGGUUGUGAUGCGAGGUUUCACCGGCAUGUUUUCUCAAAACCCUUGCUUAUGGAGUCGGACAUGCGUGUAUGGGUACAGUAGUGCAUCCCUGCAGGGUGAAAUCUUAUCGAUAAGCCUUGUCUGCGGUUAUGGACGACUUGGAGAUGUUUAACUCGAUCAUAGAACAACUUACACCUUAUUUCCUGUUGUUAAUAAUUUGCUAAUAAAACUCUUUCAAAAGUGUGUGCCUUUGCAGUACCUCUUGGCUAAGGGGGAUCGCAUUGGCUGAGUUUUGUUUGCAGAGUAUAGAACUGCUAUAAUAUGCGCUCUCUCACCUUCUCUAAUAGACGAAUGUUGUAGUGUGUCUCUAUUGGUUAGUUGCUUUGCUGCCGCUAAACUCCACAUAUAGCCGGGCGAAGUUUACACUGCCCACCAGCAAGCAUAGCUGGUCUUGUCUCGCAAGUACGUGUCAUUUGGUACUUACCCUCAUUUUUCUCCCUCUUUUUCCGGAACCCGCUUUUCGACAAACAGGUACGUCAGAUGAUGAGCAGUAAGCAGGAGGCUACUUCAUUGAGUUCAUGGACGACGACCUCGUCGAGUAGCAGGAUCGCUCCUAAAGAAGCAGCAUGUGGGUUGUUGGUUAUGGAACCCCGCUUGGUUAUCUUUAGGACUCUUGGUCCCAUUUGGAUCUUGUCUGUACCCAGACUAUUUGCUACCUCUAUGUAUGAUGUACUGAUGGGACAUGUGUCCUUUGCGUGUCAUUUGGAUCUUGCUGAGUAGAGCGUUGCUAUAUAUAAACUUUAUUUCCA